rnacentral:rRNA from 1 species
GACGAACGCUGGCGGCGUGCUUAACACAUGCAAGUCGAACGGUAAGGCCCUUCGGGGUACACGAGUGGCGAACGGGUGCGUAACACGUGGGUGAUCUGCCCUGCACUUCGGGAUAAGCCUGGGAAACUGGGUCUAAUACCGGAUAGGACCACUGCCUGCAUGGGUGGGGGUGGAAAGCUUUUGCGGUGUGGGAUGGGCCCGCGGCCUAUCAGCUUGUUGGAUGGGUGAUGGCCUACCAAGGCGAUGACGGGUAGCCGGCCUGAGGGGGUGACCGGCCACGCUGGGACUGAGAUACGGCCCAGCCUCCUCCGGGAGGCGGCAGUGGGGAAGAUUGUACAAUGGGCGCAAGCCAGGUGCAGCGACGCCGCGUGGGGGAUGACGGCCUGCGGGUUGUAAACCUCAUUCAGCACCGACGAAGCGCAAGUGACGGUAGGUGCAGAAGAAGGACCGGCCAACUACGUGCCAGCCGCCGCGGUAA